rnacentral:rRNA from 1 species
GGUGAACGCUGGCGGCGUGUCUAAGGCAUGCAAGUCGAGUGCAGGUUAAGCUGCACGGCAAACGGGUGCGUAACACAUUGGUAAUCUACCUUCAAGACGGGGAUAAUCCCGCGAAAGCGGGAAUAAUACCCGAUAAUAUGUUGUCACAUAAGUGACAUCAUUAAAGUUCCGGCGCUUGAAGAGGAGCCUAUGGCCCAUCAGCUUGUUGGCGAGGUAAAAGCUCACCAAGGCUACGACGGGUAGGGGGUGUGAGAGCAUGGCCCCCCUCACUGGGACUGAGACACUGCCCAGACUCCUACGGGAGGCUGCAGUCAAGAAUAUUCCGCAAUGGGCGAAAGCCUGACGGAGCGACGCCGCGUGCCGGAAGAAGCCCUUCGGGGUGUAAACGGCUUUUAGUAGGGAAGAAUCCGUGACGGUACCUACUGAAUAAGGGGCUGCUAACCUCGUGCCAGCAGCAGCGGUAAUACGAGGGCCCCAAGCGUUAUCCGAAUUUACUGGGCGUAAAGAGUGCGUAGGCGGCUAGAUAAGUCUUUGGUCAAAUCAUGGGGCUCAACUCCAUGGCUGCCGAGGAUACUGUUUGGCUUGAGACUGGAAGAGGCAAGUGGAAUUGCUGGUGGAGGGGUUAAAUCCGUUGAUAUCAGCAAGAACACCAAAGGCGAAGGCAACUUGCUAGUACAGUUCUGACGCUGUUGCACGAAAGCGUGGGUAGCGAAUGGGAUUAGAUACCCCAGUAGUCCACGCCGUAAACGAUGGAUACUAGACAUUGGCAGUAUCGACCCUGUCAGUGUCGUUUAACCAAGCUAACGCGUUAAGUAUCCCGCCUGGGGAGUACGGUCGCAAGACUA